rnacentral:lncRNA from 1 species
CAGAGCUACUCCAUGCAGAGCGGGGCGAACUCAUAGGCAUUGAGCCCAGAGCAAUGUUUGGGCAGUUGGCAACUGUAUUUAUACUCACAUAAACCCACUUUCAAUUACCUGCAAAUUAAAUGAAUGAGGAGAGCAUUAGCUGCCAUGAGCUGUUGAGACAGAGUAACUUGGAUUCCACACACUCUGCAAACUUCCAGGUGUGUAGUUAUUUACGGCAAAUGGGAGAGGCUACUAUUGUGGCCUGAAGUCAGAGGCAAGGAUGGUUUAAAGUAGCAGAAACCAGGCCAGUGACGGUGGCCACCGACAGGCGUUUUCUGAGCAUCCAGGAUGUGCCGUGCGCUGCACAGUCACUGGCCUUGGAUACAGGAGAUGCCCCAUUACGGCCCUUGGGUGAUGGCUGUCAUGGGCACUGCGUCCUUGGAUGGAGCGUGACUUUCUUUGGGAUGUAUAACACAUAUUCUGUGUAUCUUGUACUCCUUGUCCUUUUCUCCCAUCUUUAAAUUAUAACCUCAGAAAAGUCUAGUGUAAGGUCAGAGGUUUCACAUUUUUCUCUUGGCCUUGCUUCUCUUUAAUAACUGGAAUCCCAGUUCCACCUCCAGGCAAUUGUGUUGCUCCUGCUGAAGACCUCCAGGGAAUGAAAGGCUGUGCAGGGGCUGGGCUGGGCUUGGAGACGGCAUGUUGCAGAGUUAAUUUUAGGAGUUCUUUUCUUAAAUUAAGCAUCUACGCUGGCAUUUUUUUUUUCUGUUUCAGUGAUUGUGACCUGGGUACACCAACCCAGCCUUUGAUCUGUGUAAAGUGAAAACAGGUAUAUGAAUAUACAAACACAACAAAGGCUUGUCUUUGGGGGAAAGCUCUGCUAAAAUGUGCAUGCACCUAAACCAUAAGCGAAACUAUGUAAUUGACAAGUUGUCACAAUUAUGGUUGGUAAGAGAGAAAUUAUAUAUCUAAAAUGUAAUUAAAAUGCUCCUUGUAAGCUUUGAUGACAAGUUCUUGGAGACCAAGAAGGAAAUAAUCUCAGUCAAACCAACCGAUCUGGUUUACAGGUCUUGUCAAUAGAAAAUAGGAGACAUUUUUCUUUUGAGACGAUGAACCCAAGUAUAUCCCACAUCGUCAAUAGGUGACAAUUUUUAGCAAGCGACAACACAAAUGAAUUAAGACAAUUUGUAUAGACUCUUGGGUAAUUAGGAAGCCAUUUAUUGACGACUCAGUGUGAUGCAUAGGCACAUACUGAUUUUUUAAUAAAGCAAUUAUAUCAUUCUGGUAACUCUGCCACCUCAGUCGUUCGGAACCUUAUAAUUAUUUCUUUUACUCUUCUGCACUGUAUGUGGCUAUAGUUCAUAAUUGUAUUAGCCCCAGCAGAAUUUGGAGAUGAGUUAUAAAAGCUAAAUGCAAA